CUGGCCACAGAAGACUCUGUGACAUCAAAGAGGAGUUCUAUAGGAUUGCAGGUGAGAAAAUCUACAAAUUACAGGACAACUGUUACCAGUCAUAGUAGGAUACUCAUUACUUUGUGUUACAGGUUUCCCCAAUGUCACUGGUGCACUGGACUGCACACACCUCAGCAUAAGAUCCCCCCCAGGAGCCCAUGAGGUGGAUUUUGUGAAUAGGAAAUAAUUUCACAGCAUUAAUGUUCAGAUGGUCUGCAAUGCUGACUGUCUGAUCAACAGACAUGGACUGAGCCAGGCAAAAUGGCCUCAGUCCAUGACUCCAGAGUCUUUGGGACCUCUGAAAUCUCUAUCACAAGGUGAAUUGUCUGGUGUGUUGCUGGGAGACAGGGGGUCUGCCUGCCAGCCUUUUCUCCUGACACCAUUCACAGACCCCCAGGAAGCACAGCAGGCCUACAAUCAUGCCCAUGACAGGGCCAGGACCAGGACCAG